rnacentral:lncRNA from 1 species
UCCCGUACUACUGCCCCCCGGGCAGUGCCCAGCCGGUGCCCUGCGAAGGAGGGCACAUGGCCCUCAGCCUGCCUGGCCUCAGGGGCUCAGCUGAGAGAUUCUGCAGAGUUUGUGCUGCAGGGACCUUCCGCAGUGACCCCCUGAUCUCAGCGCCCUGCCAGCCCUGCCCAGCUGGCUUCACCUGCCCACCAGGUGCCACCAGCUGUACCUGCCAUGGGCUGAACAGAGCUUUCCAGCACUCAGAUGCCUCCUGCAUCUGCCAGGCAGGUUAUGUUUAUUAUGAUGAAAGAGGCAAGAAAGAUCCCGACAGCAACAGUGAUCAGGAUUGCCGACCUCAGGUGGAUGAGCUGUGUGCCCCUGGCGAGGUCCGGCUGGCGUCCACGCGCCGCUGCGCCGUCCCCGAGCGCCACGACUGCGCUCCCACCUGCGGGCCUGCGGGAGGGGAGCUCCACGCACAGCUGGGCAUAUGUCGCUGCAAGCAGUACGUCUCUGCUGAGGAGCUCUGUGACCAGCUGUGCCUGCUGAGAGCCCCACGCCUCUCCCUGGGCUUUGGCACCCACAGAGAGCUGCUGCUGAGGAUGAACCAGGGGCAAGCGAGGGAGGUGUCAAACGUCCUGGGCCCAGAUGAGCACGUGCAGAGCAGCCAGAGGGUGCAUCUGGUUCUGUUCAGUCCCCAGGGAGUGCUGGGUUUCAUUGUCUCCAGCACAGAAAUUCUGGAUGCGUUUCUCACGGGAGAUUUUUCCUCAGAUCAGCUGCUGCAGAAAGGGCACAGAGUGCAGAGGAGUUCCCCCAAAGACAGCCAGGCCUUGCCCCUCAUCCCUAACCCAGUGGUGUGUCUGGAAGCAGGGGAUACGAUCCUUUUCCAGCUCAGCAUCAAUUCCCAGGACCGUGCCUCCAGCCACUACCCCGUUUACCAGAAGCAACAUCUCUACAACAACAACCCAGGCUGGGAUUUCGGACCCUUCCGGAGGCUGGACCACCUGAUCCGGGAGACUCAGCUCAACAUCUCCUGGUAA